UGAAGAUGUAAAUAAUUUCUACUAUCGCUUAUAAAGUUUACAACGCCGACCGCAAUGACAUUUUCAGAUCCAAUUAGCUUGUCGCACACAUGCAUCGCAGUAUGUACACACAGCACACGGCUCCUAGACUGUACGAUCCCCCCACAGCGCUCAGUUAUUGACCCGACUAUAGUUCGGGAGCUCAGCGAGCGCAGUCUAGAACUUCACUAGCCUAGCCCCACGAUGCCGGCGCCGUGCGACUCUUGUAAAUCGACGUGUGGCAGCGGCACAGCCGCUUGCGGCAGUGGCUGCACUUGCGGCCCGAGCUGCGCGUGCGGCGAUGGCAAACCCUCUGGUGGCAAGCCCUGCUGUCAGGGCAAGUAAUCGGCCGUGUGGGCGGUAUCUUCAGAUGACAUGAAGAUACAUUAAAGUUAAUCAUUUAAAAUCUUUUUUAGUCGUUAGUUAUAGAGUAGAACGCAAUCAUGUAACUUACUCGUUUUUAACCUAACUUCUUUAUUUUAUUAAUUAUAAUAAGAAAUAUUGUGUCGUCAUGAAAUAAAUAUUGAUGCUAGAAUUACGCUUAAAGUAUUAAAUUUUAAUUAUAAAUUAAUAUGUAGUUAUUAGUUAAAUAGUUUAUUUCUUAGUGUCUAUUAAUGUUUAGGUAAAUGUAAUUUUAUCACAUUCAGUGUUUUAAUAUAAUUCUCAUAAGAUGGGUCUUUAGUACUGCAAUACUCAUUAAUUUAAGCUAUGUAUGUCGUAUGAGGGCACGCACACACGCAUAGGUAUGGUGUAGUGAGUGUAUAGUGUAAUAAAUUAAAUUAAAUCGA